AUUGAACGCUGGCGGCAGGCCUAACACAUGCAAGUCGAAUGGUAACAGGAAACAGCUUGCUGUUUCGCUGACGAGUGGCGGACGGGUGAGUAAUGUCUGGGAAACUGCCUGAUGGAGGGGGAUAACUACUGGAAACGGUAGCUAAUACCGCAUAACGUCGCAAGACCAAAGAGGGGGACCUUCGGGCCUCUUGCCAUCAGAUGUGCCCAGAUGGGAUUAGCUAGUAGGUGGGGUAACGGCUCACCUAGGCGACGAUCCCUAGCUGGUCUGAGAGGAUGACCAGCCACACUGGAACUGAGACACGGUCCAGACUCCUACGGGAGGCAGCAGUGGGGAAUAUUGCACAAUGGGCGCAAGCCUGAUGCAGCCAUGCCGCGUGUAUGAAGAAGGCCUUCGGGUUGUAAAGUACUUUCAGCGGGGAGGAAGGGAGUAAAGUUAAUACCUUUGCUCAUUAACGUUACCCGCAGAAGAAGCACCGGCUAACUCCGUG
rnacentral:rRNA from 1 species